GAAGGUGUCAUCAGCAAACCGAAGUAGAAGGCUACUUUUACCAACACCUAAAAGUAGCAAUGGAAGUGGUUGUUGAUGAUGGAGAAGAAAUAAAAAAUAGCAACAGGAAAAGAGAAAAGAAAUAAAAAGCGGCUCAUUUACCAUUUCCAUUUUGACCGUGAUUAAUAUCCAAAAGCAACCAAGGGAAAGAUCGUUGGAUUUAUAUUUAAAACCAUUUCCGAUUGUGAAAAGGACGAUAUGGACAAUUUCGAUUGAUAAUUUCUUAACGUUUUAUUUACCCACUAGUUGAUUCAAGAUUUUGCGGAUUCCAUUACAAUCAAGAGACUGGAGAUUAUGUUACAUGCGAAAAUUUUCAUAAAUAAUUGGUACUAAAUUGUUAGUCAAGAAUAUUUAUAUAAUAUCAAGAAAUAUUGAAAUUGGAUGAUGAAACAAUUUAAUCAAAAGAAAGAAAAAAACCAUCACCGGAUAAAGUA